rnacentral:rRNA from 1 species
UACGUAGGGGGCAAGCGUUGUCCGGAAUCAUUGGGCGUAAAGCGCGCGUAGGUGGCCCCAUAAGUCCGCUGUGAAAGUCAAAGGCUCAACCUUUGAAAGCCGGUGGAUACUGUGGGACUAGAGUACGGAGAAGGCGAGUGGAAUUCCUGGUGUAGCGGUGGAAUGCGCAGAUAUCAAGAGGAACACCAAUAGCGAAGGCAGCUCGCUGGGACGUUACUGACACUGAGGCGCGAAAGCGUGGGGAGCGAACAGG